UUUCCGUAGGUGAACCUGCGGAAGGAUCAUUCAUAAUAGGUGUUUUAUGGCACUUUUUUAAAUCCAUAUCCACCUUGUGUGCAAUGUCAGGGUUGGUCUCUUUUGAUCAGCCCCAAACAUCAACUAUUAUCUCAACUCUUUGUCUGAAAAACAUUAUGAAUAAAACAAUUCAAAAUACAACUUUCAACAACGGAUCUCUUGGCUCUC
rnacentral:misc_RNA from 1 species